AGAGUUUGAUCCUGGCUCAGAUUGAACGCUGGCGGCAUGCUUUACACAUGCAAGUCGAACGGCAGCGCGGGGGCAACCCUGGCGGCGAGUGGCGAACGGGUGAGUAAUGCAUCGGAACGUAUCCUGUAAUGGGGGAUAACGUAGCGAAAGUUACGCUAAUACCGCAUACGCUCGAGAGAGGAAAGUGGGGGAUCGCAAGACCUCACGCUAUAGGAGCGGCCGAUGUCCGAUUAGCUAGUUGGUGGGGUAAAGGCCUACCAAGGCGACGAUCGGUAGCUGGUCUGAGAGGAUGAUCAGCCACACUGGGACUGAGACACGGCCCAGACUCCUACGGGAGGCAGCAGUGGGGAAUUUUGGACAAUGGGCGAAAGCCUGAUCCAGCCAUGCCGCGUGCGGGAAGAAGGCCUUCGGGUUGUAAACCGCUUUAGUCCGGGAAAAAGGGGUGCGAGGAUAAUACCCUCGUGCUUUGAUGGUACUGGAAGAAUAAGCACCGGCUAACUACGUG
rnacentral:rRNA from 1 species